UACGUAGGGUGCAAGCGUUAAUCGGAAUUACUGGGCGUAAAGCGUGCGCCGGCGGUUUGGUAAGACAGAUGUGAAAUCCCCGGGCUCAACCUGGGAAUUGCAUUUGUGACUGCCCGGCUAGAGUGUGUCAGAGGGGGGUAGAAUUCCACGUGUAGCAGUGAAAUGCGUAGAUAUGUGGAGGAAUACCGAUGGCGAAGGCAGCCCCCUGGGAUAACACUGACGCUCAUGCACGAAAGCGUGGGGAGCAAACAGG
rnacentral:rRNA from 1 species